CAGUUCUCAGACGAAACCUUUGAUAUUGCUCUUGAUAAAUGUGGAUUGGAUACUUUAAUGGAGCUAGAGCAUGGGAAUAAGCGGGGAGAUCAAUACUUAUCAGAGGUGAAAAGAGUUCUCAUAUUAGGGGGAAAAUUUAUAUGUCUCACCUUGGCAGAAUCACAUGGUCUAGAGUUGCUUUUCUCUAAGUUGAGAUUUGGCUGGAUAAUGAGUAUCCAUGCCAUACCUCACAAGUCCUGUGAGAAAUCCAGCCUUCAGACCUUUAGGGUGAUUGUUGUCAAAGAGAGUCCCGUUGCGGUAU